AGGGGUGUAGUACAAUGGCAGUACAGUGGUCUCCAAAACCAUUGAUGUGGGUUCAAUUCCUACCACCCCUGCCA
rnacentral:tRNA from 1 species